GGAGAACAUAAAAGAGAGAAGGGCGGGGGGAGGGUGUUAGUUACAGCCAUAAGUUUUACAGUUAAUUGGAAACCACAUUAAAUGGCAACAUCAGUUUAUAGAUCAACUCUGCAACUUCUUGGUCGUUAAAGCAGUGGUGGUAGGUUAUUGUGUUGUAGCCUUGUAAAAUAUGGGCACUGUAUUUGCUGGGGGAGAGCUUAAAAAGAACAGUAAAAUCUGCAGUGUCUUUGAUUUCUUGUUUUGCAGUAUGGUACAAUCUGCGUGUGCGUCUUUCUGGGGUGUGAGCAUUUUCAAGGCUCCAUAGGGCAAAUAUGAUGGGUAAUUCUGAUCUAAGGAGUCCUCUGGAGAUAUGGGAUUGACCCUAUGUCGCUCCUUGCCUGCUCCAUCCAAGCAGGAUGCAGCCAGACCACAUCUUAUUUGCAGUGCCUCCAGGAACAGGCCUCUCCAGGGCUUUUGCUGCCUCCACCACCGUCGGUCAACAUCCAGGAAGGAAGACGUUUCUAAGGAAACCACGGAGGCUUUCCACCAAGGUGGUUGCAUGAAAGCGCUGAACUGGUGAGAGUGACAAAAAGCAGUUCAUUGGAUAAUGUAGAAAAAGUAACUGCAUCUGAUAUUGCAACCAGCAGACCAGAAGGCCAUGCCAAGAUCUGCUUAGAGUUCUGGAGUCUUAUCCUGACUUCAGCUUUGAUCCCAUGGUAGUGUCAGAAGGUCUGGAGCAAGCCUGCCAUCAGCAUCCACUUGGAGGAGCCAAUUCAGGAUCUGACUCACCAGCCCAAAUCGAGAUUCCUUGUUUAAUUUGGUCA
rnacentral:lncRNA from 1 species